rnacentral:rRNA from 1 species
UAAAUCAGUUAUGGUUCACUAGAUCGUACAGUUUACAUGGAUAACUGUGGUAAUUCUAGAGCUAAUACAUGCAUUCAGCUCGCUCUUUCGGGAGCGAGCGCAGUUAUUAGAAUAAAACCAAUCCGGCCUUCGGGUCGGUAAAAUUGGUGACUCUGAAUAACCGAAGCGGAGCGCAUGGUCUCGUACCGGCGCCAGAUCUUUCAAGUGUCUGACUUAUCAGCUUGUUGGUAGGUUAUGUGCCUACCAAGGCUUCGACGGGUAACGGGGUGUCAGGGCCCGACACCGGAGAGGGAGCCUGAGAAACGGCUACCACAUCCAAGGAAGGCAGCAGGCGCGCAAAUUACCCACUCCCGGCACGGGGAGGUAGUGACGAAAAAUAACGAUGCGAGAGCUUUUAGCUUUUCGUAAUCGGAAUGGGUACACUUUAAAUCCUUUAACGAGGAUCUAUUGGAGGGCAAGUCUGGUGCCAGCAGCCGCGGUAAUUCCAGCUCCAAUAGCGUAUAUUAAAGUUGCUGCGGUUAAAAAGCUCGUAGUUGGAUCUGGGUUGUUCGAGCGAGCGGUGCGUCUUCACGGCGUAACUGCUUGUUCGGCACCACAGCCCGGUUAUGUCUUGCAUGCCCUUCACUGGGUGUGCUUGGCGACCGGAACGUUUACUUUGAAAAAAUUAGAGUGCUCAAAGCAGGCGUAUGGCCUUGCAUAAUGGUGCAUGGAAUAAUAGAAUAGGACCUCGGUUCUAUUUUGUUGGUUUUCGGAGCUCGAGGUAAUGAUUAAUAGGAACAGACGGGGGCAUU